CCUACGGGUGACAGCAGUGAGGAAUAUUGGUCAAUGGGCGCGAGCCUGAACCAGCCAAGUAGCGUGAAGGAUGACUGCCCUACGGGUUGUAAACUUCUUUUAUAAAGGAAUAAAGUGAGGCACGUGUGCCCUUUUGUAUGUACUUUAUGAAUAAGGAUCGGCUAACCCCGUGCCAGCAGCCGCGGUAAGACGGAGGAUCCGAGCGUUAUCCGGAUUUAUUGGGUUUAAAGGGAGCGUAGAUGGGUUGUUAAGUCAGUUGUGAAAGUUUGCGGCUCAACCGUAAAAUUGCAAUUGAUACUGGCAGCCUUGAGUACAGUUGAGGUAGGCGGAAUUCGUGGUGUAGCGGUGAAAUGCUUAGAUAUCACGAAGAACACCGAUUGCGAAGGCAGCCUACUAAAC
rnacentral:rRNA from 1 species